UACAUACAUACAUACAUACAUACAUACAUACAUACAUAAGCUCUCUCUCCUCCUCCCUCCAUCAGCCCCUUGAUCAGACAGACACAAUGCCAUUGGAGGCACAAACGCUUUUGCUUAUAUCUAGAUGACGAAAACAGGUACCAAAAUAGUGGCCUUGUGGUUGGAGUGCUUUACCCAGUCCAUGGUUGAAUGGACCUUCUGAACGUCAUCUUUCUCUCAUGUCGAACAUUUCUUGAGACACUCAUUGAAUCACUCUCUUUUGGUCACGUUUUACGCACAAUAUUUUCCGAUCCAUUGAGACUGGAGAAAAAAAGUAUUAUUAAAAACCAUGGAUACAUUUCUAGUGUGUGUCUUUUAGAACAAAUGUAUUUAAAACUACAACAAAUAAAUGUUAUCUACGCCAAAAGCUGUGCAUUUUAAUAUGGGUAAAGAUAUUAUCGGUAGGAGAAGAAGGUUACAAUGGUCAAAAAUGAAUUCAACACACAUGCGUAAUUGGAAUGCGGCCUACCCCUUCAGAGUCAAAAUGCCAUAAAGGGGGAAAGGAGAAAGAACGAGAUGUAUUCUCUAUGGAUUACGAUGUUGUAGAGCACCCCGUCGGCAACCUUCCAACGUUUUUCCUCUCCCAAAUUCCAAGUGAAUCAAUUUUAUACGAGACAGCCGACGUAUACCACUCUGCCAUGAGUUGACUAAGCCCGAAGCCCUGUUGGAAUCACGCACGCAACAUUCGGCCCUUCUCGCCUCAUGGCAAGCGAACAUCAGGUUGGCAAAAGAAAGUAGCAACCACACAGAGAAUGUUUCGAGAAGUUAUUGUAAACAAUGUCGAUUUUUCAGCCAUUCUGAACCUCGAGUCGUAGCCAACAAAUAGCCUAAUAUCACUGACAAAUUGUAACGAUUUUAUGACCCUCAAAAAUCUUUCAUGUAAGAACUAAGCGCUUGCUUAAAAUGUAUCAAAUGAUUGCAUAUAUUUAUACAACACUGGGUCAUUCAGCACAACGAUGCGUGUGACAUUUAAAAGUGUGUAGAAUAUUAUUUCACGCAGAAGGUGUUUUUGGGAUAGGCCUUCUAAACACAAGAGUUUUUUGAAAUGUCUUUUGAAACAACUGGUACAAUUCAGGAAGAAUCGGGUCAAAUCCACACAGUUUCCUUUAAUUAAGAUACAUUCAAUUUCAUUGUGGAUAGAUUGGACCUGUGCAGCUGUACCGUUUUAUCAUAAUGUCGUUUCAAACAUUUACGCAGAAGACUAAUGCCAAAGGCUGUCAAAGUGUGUUGGGAACAUCCGUAUAGGACUACACUGUUUCCACCGUGGCCUUCUGAUGUAAUAAUUGUACUCCGCUCAACCCUAGUACCUUUUAGUCAGUCUAAUAAAUACACAUGGAGAUAACAUUUAAGUCGAGAAGUGAAAAAACAAUGUUCAAUAUUAAAGAUUGUAACUUGUCAAAAUAAUAAACAAAAAAAUACAAAUACAAACAUCCAAAACAAUACCAAUUGAUAUCACCCCUGAUACACUUAAAUGCAAACGUUGUUUUUCCCUCGUGGUUGUGAUUGUCCGGCAGUCCUUUAGCUCCUGUCCCUAAUAACAUUUGCAGAGAAGUGUGCAGAAAUGGGUUUAAGAGGCAAGUCCUUGAUGAGAAUGGCACAAUUUCCGCCAUGGAAAUAUGAGAAACAGCCAGUCAGUCCUUCAAAGCACCUGUCCUGUCAGCUUUCUGCAGGGCCACAGACCAGUGUCAUGUCUGUAGAUAGUGUGGCAAGGUUUCCCUUCCAUGUCCUGUCUUUAACUGUGCGUUAACUUGAGUUCUCCACACCAUGUCUUUGGUAUGGAAGAGAAUGUUGUGAUGGAUAUGGGGCCUAGGUGAGGUCACCAUGUCUUUGGUAUGGAAGAGAAUGUUGUGAUGGAUAUGGGGCCUAGGUGAGGUCACCGUGUCUUUGGUAUGGAAGAGAAUGUUGUGAUGGAUAUGGGGCCUAGGUGAGGUCACCAUAUAAAUACAGAAGAGGUGAGUGUAAUGAGCUGGCACUAGACCCAUGGUAAAGGAGGACUUGUUUCUCCUUAUCUCCUUCCUCCCUCCUCUUUUAUCUCCAUCCGCCCGUCCGUCUGUCCUGCUCCCCCUCUUCUUCCCUCUGUCUCUCC